rnacentral:rRNA from 1 species
UACGGAGGGUGCAAGCGUUUAUCCGGAUUCACUGGGUUUAAAGGGUGCGUAGGCGGGUUGGUAAGUCCGUGGUGAAAUCUCCAAGCUUAACUUGGAAACUGCCGUGGAUACUAUCAAUCUUGAAUAUAGUGGAGGUGAGCGGAAUAUGUCAUGUAGCGGUGAAAUGCUUAGAUAUGACAUAGAACACCCAUUGCGAAGGCAGCUCGCUACACUAUUAUUGACGCUGAGGCACGAAAGCGUGGGGAUCAAACAGG